ACGUACACUCCUGCGGGAGGCAGCAGUGGGGAAUAUUGGACAAUGGGCGCAAGCCUGAUCCAGCCAUGCCGCGUGAGUGAUGAAGGCCCUAGGGUUGUAAAGCUCUUUCACCGGAGAAGAUAAUGACGGUAUCCGGAGAAGAAGCCCCGGCUAACUUCGUGCCAGCAGCCGCGGUAAUACGAAGGGGGCUAGCGUUGUUCGGAAUUACUGGGCGUAAAGCGCACGUAGGCGGAUCGAUCAGUCAGGGGUGAAAUCCCAGGGCUCAACCCUGGAACUGCCUUUGAUACUGUCGAUCUGGAGUAUGGAAGAGGUGAGUGGAAUUCCGAGUGUAGAGGUGAAAUUCGUAGAUAUUCGGAGGAACACCAGUGGCGAAGGCGGCUCACUGGUCCAUUACUGACGCUGAGGUGCGAAAGCGUGGGGAGCAAACAGGAUUAGAAACCCGUGUAGUCCCAUGAU
rnacentral:rRNA from 1 species